GACGAACGCUGGCGGCGUGCUUAACACAUGCAAGUCGAACGGAAAGGCCCUGCUUUUGUGGGGUGCUCGAGUGGCGAACGGGUGAGUAACACGUGAGUAACCUGCCCUUGACUUUGGGAUAACUUCAGGAAACUGGGGCUAAUACCGGAUAGGAGCUCCUGCUGCAUGGUGGGGGUUGGAACGUUUCGGCGGUUGGGGAUGGACUCGCGGCUUCUCAGCUGGUUGGUGGGGUAGUGGCUUACCAAGGCUUUGACGGGUAGCCGGCCGGAGAGGGUUACCGGCCACAUUGGGACUGAGAUACGGCCCAGACUCCUGCGGGAGGCAGCAGUGGAGAAUAUUGCGCAAUGGGCGGAAGCCUGAUGCAGCAACGCCGCGUGCGGGAUGACGGCCUUCGUGUUGUAAACCGAUUUCGCCUGUGACGAAGCGUGAGUGACGGUAAUGUGUAAAGAAGCACCGGCUAACUACGUG
rnacentral:rRNA from 1 species